UGGUUAAAGCUACUAAGGGCGCGCGGUGGAUGCCUAGGCACUGGGGGCCGAUGAAGGACGUGGCUCGACUGCGAUAAGCCUCGGUUAGCUGUCUAGCAAGCUUAGCCGGGGAUCUCCGAAUGGGGUAACCCGUUCCGAUGAAUAAUCGGAUCACCCCGACUCUGUCGGGGAGGGAACCGGGGGAACUGAAACAUCUAAGUACCCCGAGGAAAAGAGACUAUUCCCUUAGUAGCGGCGAGCGAACGGGGAUCAGCCCAAACCCGUAGGGAAGGUAUCGGCGCACGGGCUAAUGCCCUGCGGGGGUUGUAAGACACAGGCCGGCCAAACCGUGUCGCGGCCGGGAAGUUACCAAGCCCUGCUCUAGCUGAAGGACCCUGGAAAGGGCCGCCACAGAGAGUGACAGCCUCGUAAGCUAAAGAGCACGGGCCUUCCUUGCCUGUGUCCUUGAGUACCACGGGACACGUGGAAUCCCGUGGGAACCCGGGAAGACCACUUUCCAAGGCUAAACACCCCCAGUGACCGAUAGUGCAACAGUACCGUGAGGGAAAGGUGAAAAAGCACCCCGGAAGGGGAGUUAAAAGUUCCUGAAACCGCGUGCCUACAAACCGUCGGAGUCCCGAUCUUGCAUCGUGGAUGACGGCGUGCCUAUUGAAGAAUGAGCCGGCGAGUGAAUCUUAGUGGCACGGUUAAGCAAGGAAGCUUGCGGAGCCAUAGCGAAAGCGAGUCCGAACAGGGCGCCCUAGAUGUCGCUGGGAUUCGACCCGAAACCGGGUGAGCUACCCAUGGCCAGGGUGAAGCCUCGAUAAUAUCGAGGUGGAGGCCCGAACCAUUUGUCGGUGCAAAGACACUGGAUGAGCUGUGGGUAGAGGUGAAAUGCCAAUCGAACUCGGAGAUAGCUGGUUCUCCCCGAAAUGCAUUGAGGUGCAGCCUCAGGAUCCGUCUUCUGGAGGUAGGGCACUGAAUGGGCUAGGGGGCAAAACGCUUACCAAACCCAAUCAAACCACGAAUGCCAGAAGAUAAACCUGGGAGUGAGCCCGUGGGGGAUAAACUUCACGGACGAAAGGGAAACAACCCAGACCACCGGCUAAGGUCCCCAAGUGUGCGCUAAGUGGGAAAGGAUGUGGGACAGCCCAGACAGCCAGGAGGUUGGCUUAGAAGCAGCCACCCUUUAAAGAGUGCGUAACAGCUCACUGGUCGAUGCCAUCCCGCGCCGAAAAUGUAACGGGGCUCAAGCGUACCACCGAAGCCUUGGUCCUUCCGCGCAAGCGGGAGGAGGUAGGGGAGCGUUCCGUCCUGCCGUGAAGCCGCGCCGUGAGACGCGGUGGAGUGGACGGAAGUGAGAAUGCCGGCAUGAGUAGCAAAAGGCGAGUGAGAAUCUCGCCCACCGAAUGCCUAAGGUUUCCUACGGAAGGAUUUUCCGCGUAGGGUUAGGCGGGCCUAAGGCUAAGGCGUAAAGCCGAUGCCGAUGGACAGACGGUUAUUAUUCCGUCCCCGCCUGUGUGACGUUACGAGACGGAGGGGGGACCCAGGAGGGUAGGCUGAGCGGGCCCAUUGGACAUGGUCCGUCCUUGGUCUGUAGGCGUCCGGGCAGAGGCAAAUCCCUGCCCGGGUUAAGCUAAGGGAUUGAGGGGCAGCAGAGACUUCGGUCAAAGCGACUCGGCUGAGCCCACGCUGGCCAGAAAAGCCUCGCCGUCCAGUCACCCAGGCGCCCGUACCGCAAUCCGACACAGGUAGGCUGGGGUUAGCGCCCUCAGGUGGUCGAGUGACCCCCCGUUAAGGAACUCGGCAAUUUGGCCUCGUAACUUCGGGAGAAGAGGUGCCUCUGUUCGUAACCAGACUCGCUCUGGAAGCGAACGGGGGUCGCAGCGAAGCGGCCCAAACGACUGUUUAACAAAAACACAGGUCUCUGCCAAAGCGAAAGCUGAGGUAUAGGGGCUGACACCUGCCCGGUGCCGGAAGGUUAAGGGGAGGGCUGAUGAGGCCCGAACCGAAGCCCCGGUGAACGGCGGCCGUAACUAUAACGGUCCUAAGGUAGCGAAAUUCCUUGUCGGGUAAGUUCCGACCCGCACGAAAGGUGUCACGAGUUGGGCACUGUCUCAACGGGGGGCUCGGCGAAAUUGCAGGACCAGUGAAGAUGCUGGUUACCCGCUGCAGGACAAAAAGACCCCGUGGAGCUUUACUGUAGCUUGGCGUUGAAGGCGGGCCUGGGAUGCGUAGGAUAGGUGGGAGGCUGCGAACUCCGGUCUCCGGAUCGGAGGGAGCCAACCUUGAAAUACCACUCUUCCCAAGUCUUCCUCCUAACCCUGCAUAGGCAGGAGACAGCGCCUGGUGGGCAGUUUGACUGGGGCGGUCGCCUCCCAAAAGGUAACGGAGGCGCCCAAAGGUCCCCUCAGGCUGGAUGGAAAUCAGCCGUCGAGCGCAUUGGUAUAAGGGGGCUUGACUGUGAGGCCUACAAGCCGAACAGGGACGAAAGUCGGGCAAAGUGACCCUACGGUUCCGUGUGGAAGGGCCGUGGAUUAACGGAUAAAAGCUACCCCGGGGAUAACAGGCUGAUCUCUCCCAAGCGUUCACAGCGACGGGGAGGUUUGGCACCUCGAUGUCGGCUCGUCGCAUCCUGGGGCUGGAGUAGGUCCCAAGGGUUGGGCUGUUCGCCCAUUAAAGCGGCACGCGAGCUGGGUUCAGAACGUCGUGAGACAGUUCGGUCUCUAUCCGCAGUGGGCGCAGGAGACUUGCGAGGAGCUGCCCCUAGUACGAGAGGACUGGGGUGGACGGACCUCUGGUGUGCGGGUUGUUCCGCCAGGAGCAAAAAGCCCGGUAGCUAUGUCCGGACGGGAUAAGCGCUGAAAGCAUCUAAGCGCGAAACCCUCCUCAAGAUGAGGUCUCCCAUCCGCAAGGAGUAAGGUCGCGGGAAGACUACCCGCUUGAUAGGCGGCAUGUGUAAGUCCGGUAACGGAUUCAGCUGAGCCGUACUAAUGACCGAGGGCUUGACCACCA
rnacentral:rRNA from 1 species